GACGAACGCUGGCGGCGUGCUUAACACAUGCAAGUCGAACGGAAAGGCCCUGCUAUUGUGGGGUGCUCGAGUGGCGAACGGGUGAGUAACACGUGAGUAACCUGCCCUUGACUUUGGGAUAACUUCAGGAAACUGGGGCUACUACCGGAUCGGAGCUCCUGCUCCAUGGUGGGGGUUGGAACGUUUAGGCGGGUGGGGAUGGACUCGCGGCUUAUCAGCUUGUUGGUGGGGUAGUGGCUUACCAAGGCUUUGACGGGUAGCCGGCCUGAGAGGGUGACCGGCCACAUGGGGACUGAGAUACGGACCAGACUCCUACGGGAGGCAGCAGUGGGGAAUAUUGCACAAUGGGCGGAAGCCUGAUGCAGCAACGCCGCGUGCGGGAUGACGGCCUUCGGGUUGUAAACCGCUUUCGCCUGUGACGAAGCGUGAGUGACGGUAAUGGGUAAAGAAGCACCGGCUAACUACGUG
rnacentral:rRNA from 1 species